rnacentral:rRNA from 1 species
CCUACGGGUGGCUGCAGUGGGGAAUCUUGCGCAAUGGCCGAAAGGCUGACGCAGCGACGCCGCGUGGAGGAUGACGCCCUUCGGGGUGUAAACUCCUGUUGCCCGGGACGAACGACCUGUUUCGACAGGUGUGACGGUACCGGGUGAGGAAGCACCGGCUAACUCUGUGCCAGCAGCCGCGGUAAUACAGAGGGUGCGAGCGUUGUCCGUAAUCGCUAGGGGCACGGGGCGCGUAGGGGACGCGUGUGGCGAAAGUCCGGGGCUCAACCCCGGAUCGGCCAUGCGAACUGUCCAGCUGGAGCACGGUAGAGGCACAUGGAAUUCCGGGUGUAGCGGUGGAAUGCGUAGAGAUCCGGAAGAACACCGGUGGCGAAGGCGGUGUGCUGGGCCGUAGCUGACGCUGAGGCGCGACAGCGUGGGGAGCAAACAGGAUUAGAUACCCUAGUAGUC